rnacentral:rRNA from 1 species
UAGGGAAUCUUCCACAAUGGGCGCAAGCCUGACCGAGCAACGCCGCGUGAGUGAAGAAGGUUUUCGGAUCGUAAAGCUCUGUUGUAAGAGAAGAACGUGUGUGAGAGUGGAAAGUUCACACAGUGACGGUAACUUACCAGAAAGGGACGGCUAACUACGUGCCAG